UACUGAGUUUGUACAGCACAGAAAGGAGUUUGGGUAGUUUCAAAAGGAGACUAGGGCACAGUUUCAGGGUUUAAACGAUAUGCUCCAGGCAGCUUAUGCAUGGGCUGGAUAGGCAGGCCAGCCAAAAAGACCAAAUGGCGAAGCAGAUACAAAAGAUGGCGGAGACUGGAGCACAAAAUCAGUGAUUCAUUGAUGAUAUGGAGUUUGAUCUAGCAGG
rnacentral:lncRNA from 1 species